AACAUCACUCGCACAAAGACAAACACAAACAAAAAACCACAAAACAAACAAAAUUUUCAUUUUCCCUUCUUUCCUUUCUUUCCUUUUUCUUUCUAUCUCUCUCGCAAAUCCAAAAAAAAAGA
rnacentral:ribozyme from 13 species